UUGUUUCCUGGAUCAAAGAUUUUAUGAAGUCAGAAACACUGAACCUGAUAGAAGAGUUAUGUCUACAGCUGACAACUGUUCAAACAGAAGUGGUAAAUCAAGACUCAGGAACUUUUCUACAAAGGGAGAGAAAGCAAACAUCUCUGGAUUUGUUACCCUUAUGCUCUGCACUGCAAAUAAUCAAGUCUGCCAUCAUAGCACGGAAACAACUCUAAAGCACGUUGUUUCAGGCAACAAAACAGCAGUGCUCUCAGCAGACAGUGUAACCUCCUCCGGAGCUGUGACAGUGCAGAUGGUACACCAAGAAACAAAACCCUUAAGCCCGUGAUGAACUGCUUUUAUUUCUUCUCUUGGAAUUCUUUGAUUCUCCUUUAAUAUUUGACACCGAUUUGAUAAAAAAAAAAACCUCUCUGAAGUAUAUGUGUAAGCACACCAGAGAAUACUCUAGGAGUAUUGAGUACAACCUCUCAUUUCAGCCAAUCUUUACUGAUAUGCAAAUCCAUAUGUUUGUUAAUACAGUUACCUAUCACAAGAACAUUACUUCCUUAUGUCAGCAUUAUUUUAUGGUUGGUGCUUGCUAAUAUUUUUCCUCCAUUUAGCAACUUUUAGAAGAAAAUGAGUCAGCAAUAAUUGUAUUUUUUAACCUUACAAUUUAUAUUAGCUGUAAGAAAUUUUAAUAACAUGAAGAAAUUUCAUCAGGAGCAAAAGCAUCAACCAUUUAGUAAUGAUUCUGUUAAAGAACACAUAUUGUGAAAUGAAUGACUCAGUUUUAGUAGCCGAAUAUUUAGAAUGCCUUCUUGGUUAAAUGCAUGAACAUAGAAUAAAAUUAGAGAAUAUAUGUAAAUAUAUAAUCAUUUUUUCCAACUUAAUAUGGCCAUGUAUGCAUUAUAUAUUUUGUGCUGUAAUGCAUGGAAAGCUUUCUCCCAGUGCCUAAACAAACCCUCACAAGGUGGACUAUCUUCCUAUAAGCUAUUAUGAAAAAGGUCCUUCAGGUCCCCAACAUAAGACAGGCAGUUAGCACUUCUGCUGGUGGUCAUCCUUAGCUAACUGACAACGUUACUAAAGACAUCACCUGCCUUGGUACCAAGACACAGAGAAGUCAGAAUAGAGCCAGUAUGGAAGCUUCCUUCCUUCUGUCAAGCAUUUAUGUGUUCUAAGGUGCUGUGCAGGCUCACAAGGGGGAAAAUAACCUCCACAGUCUUAAUGAGCUGGGAACUCUGUGGGCAACAACACCAACCUGCCAGGAAAGAUGAAUCCACUGGUGUGGAAGAGGCAAGUCUGUUAUGGGUGUAACCAACCACUUUCUGAUUAUAUUUGAUUCUUGCUCUGCAGGGGAACAUUCAGGUCUGCUAUGAUAAACAUAAAAAGAAGCGAUGACCUGGGAGGUUACAGACCCUUGUGGGGAAGCAACUGCUGUUGUUUUGCUAAACAGACAUAAUGUAUGUGUCAAAUAUUCUUCUAAGUCACCAUGGUCAUAGAUUACAUUGCUUUCAUCUGUGGUUAGAAAAGUUUCAUUGGCAAUGUUCUGAAGCAACACCAGGGACUCAUACGUAGUCAAGUUAAAGAGAAGAAAUUAAUUAUGAACGAUAUAUGUAAAUAGCCUCCCAGUUCCAGAAAGGAAAUUUGUAAGAGCAAGUUGAAUGGCAGCCUAGACCACUAACCUUGUGUGCAAAACCAAAACAAAACAGAAAAAACCAACGCUUAUUUGAAGCCACAGUAGUUUUCAUUACCUUAAUACAAUCUUCAAAGACUUGGCCUAUAAGCCUUUAUCACAGUAGUUGCAGGGACCCAUGAGGCCUUACCAUUCCCUAAGACAAUGGGAGCAGAACCAGAAUUUUUCUCAGUAUUGUAAACAUUCUUAAGGUGUACAUUCUCUUGUAAAAAAAAAAAAACUUUCAUCACACUCUAUAAAAAAUUCUAGGAAAACUCAUUGAGUACUAUCAAGGAGACUGGAAAGUAGAAUGUGGUGAGUAUAGUGAUAUUUGAGACAAAGGGAUCAUGUACAGUGAAAGGAAAGCAAAGGAAUAAUUGAGUAUUGGGAAUAUGAUCAAAGCAUAGAAUGGAUAUAUAUAUGAAAAUGCCAUGUUGAAGCCUAUUAGUGUGUAUAAUAUAUGCCAAUGUUUUUCACAUUAAUUUUUUGAACAGAACAAAAGUUAACAAUGAUACAUUUUUAAAUUUUUGUAUUAAGUGAGUAAAUAAAAUAAUGCACAAAUAAUUUAUGAGUGAAGAGUUAUAAAUACUCCUUUUUCUCUUCAAAAAUAUAAAUAUGUUGACAGAUUGUGUUGAGUAGGGUGUUAUUCAAUUACACUUCUAGAAAUAAAACUGUGUGGGUAGGCUUCAUUAUAUCAAUUUCACUAAAUGAAGUAAUGUCUAAAUGAAAUAAAAUAUGGAAAUAACAAUAUAGUUAUUUAAGAUUGGUGAUCAUCAAUGAACAAUAUUUACAAGGACAAUUUUGAAAGUGCCUAAAUAUCCAUCCAUCUUUAGAGUCCCAAACUUCCUUUAAAAGAUAAGAAAAACUUAUAACAUCAAUAGCAUGACUGUCACUACUAAAAUUCUAUUUAAUUACUUAGAAAAUUUCUCUGGAAAGAUACUGUGCUGGGAAGUGAAUAUUUAGAAAUAGAAGAUUAAAUACCCUUCCUUAAAAUCUUCAUAGGUUACCAGAAUCAUAGCCAAGUUUACUGAGAUAAUUUUGGUUUUCUACUGAACAUUUUAAUGGCUUAUAUUCACUAGAUAUUUCUAAAUGUUUCACAACUAUGUUUAAACUCAAGAAUAUCAUUUAUUUGAACAUUUCCCCAAUAUUCUACUAGCUUUUUCUGUAUUUUUCUUUUAUAUGUUUUUUCCCCUG